AUUCCCAAGAAGGUUGGCCAUGGAUGUUUUGAAUAACAUUAGAAGCCUGAGCUGUAUUGGGUUCAACUGCUACCUGUAGCAUCCUAUAUGAGCACUGGUUCAAAUUUGGCUUUUCUUCUGAUCCAGCUCCCUGCUAAUGUGCCUGGAAAAGCAGUGUUGAGUGGCCCAAGUACUGGGGCUCCUGCCACCCACAUGGGAGACCCAGAUGGAGUUCCAGGGUCCUGUGUCAGCCUGGCCCAGCCUCGGCUGUUGCAGCCAUUUGGGGAGUGAACCAACAGAUGGAAGAUCUCUUUUUGUCCCCCCCUCCACCUCUAAUUCUGCCUUUCAAAUAAAUAAAUCUUAAAAUAAUCGAAAUUCUGUGCCUGCAGAAUCUUACCUGGGUGUGUCUGGCAUAAAAGGGAGAAGUCUGGAUCUGCCUGUAAAGUGUUAGCCAUCCUUGUCAUGGAGCAGCAGCAUAACACAUGGUUGGGAUUUUCUGUUAUUUUUCACAUUUCAUACACUUAUGAUGUCAUGUUUUCAUAAUCAGAACACACAUGACAGAGAAAAUGCCUUCUGAGAAGCCUUGUCCUUCUCAGCUGAGGGAAACAAGAACAAGACAGCCUCGAUGGAGGGGAUGAGGGCUGGGACUUUGGUUUUUCAUCCCAGUGGUUUGCAAAGGAAAAGUGAAUGCUGCAAAACCCACCUUGUUUUCUAAGCUUGUUCAAUUCUGUGGUCAGGGCAGAGGCUAAAGAGCUGCUGUUUAUAAGACGUUGACUUUUAUUCAGGGCCGAGUGACAGGAAACUUUUGGUGGAAUGGAUGUGCAUGCUCCAUCCUGUUAAGAAGGCGAUGAGUGCCUGGGUCAAGGAUGCUCACUGUCUUCUCGGAUUCCUCUGCUCUCCCUGUCCCCAUCUGCAAAAUGCCAAGGCUGAGUGCAGUGAUCGGUGAGGUCCCUUGCAGAUGUCACUUCCAGUAAUUCCAACAUUCCUCUAGCAGCUUGGUUAUCUCCAGAUCUAACAGGUUAAAAGACGCACCCCAAAGGAAGAGUUCUAAUUCCCUCCCUGGCCUCGUGCUGACGUCUUUAUGGUAGCUCACACAGAAGCACAUGUGGGAGUUUCUUUUAUUAUGUUUCCCAGUUGCACAAAUAUUAAUAGGUAUUGUGGAAAUUUAAAAACACAAACAGGAUGGGCGUUUGAUGUGGCACUUGAGAUGCUCGCUGUUCCGGAGCCCUCGUCCCCUAUAGGAAGGCCUGGGGUGGAGUGCCCAUUCCGCUUCUGAUUCUGUCUUCCCACUAGUGCACAGUAGGCAUUAAUGGGAGGAAUCGGUGAUGGCUGAAGUGCUUGGGUCCCUGCUACCCAUGUGGGAGUCCUGAAUUGAGUUCUAGGCUCCUAGCUUCAGCUUGACCCAGCCCCUGCUGUUGCAUGCUUAUAAGGACUGAACCAGUGAUGAAAGUUCUCUCCGUCUGUCUCUCUGCCUUUCAAAUAAAAAUUAAAUAUUAAACAAAAUUAAGGGCUUAGCCUCCAUCUGCCUUAAAAAAAUAAAAAUACAGAGAAAAAAUUUACUUAUAAUUCCACCACUGUUAACUUUUUUUUUUUUUUUGACAGGCAGAGUUAGACAGUGAGAGAGAGAGAGAGAGAGAGAAAGAGAGAGAACAGUCUUCUUUCCAUUGGUUCACUCCCCAAAUGGCCACCACAGCUGGCGUGCUGCCCUGAUACGAAGCCAGGAACCAGGUGCUUCCUCCUGGUCUCCCAUGGGGGUGCAGGGCCCAAGCACUUGGGCCAUCCUCCACUCCCUUCCUGGGCCACAGCAGAGAGCUGGACUGGAAGAGGAACAACCAGGACAGAAUCCGGCACCCCAAUGGGGACUAGAACAUGGAGAACUGGUGCCACAGCUGGAGGAUUAGCCUAGUGAGCCACAGCACUGGCCCACUGUUAGCUUUUAUAAUACAUUUCCAGUAUUUUUCCAUUGCAUGUGUACCAGAACUAUCUUGAACAACUAUUUAUUUAUUUGAAAGGCAGAAAAUGAGAGAGAAAUAAAUCCACUGGUUCACUCCUUAAGUGCUUGCAACUUCUGGGCAUGGGCAAGGCUGAAGCCAGAAACCAGUAACCUAUCCUGGUCUCCCGUAUUAGCGGCAGGAAUUUGAACAAUCAUCUGCUGCUUCCAAGUGUGGGGAAUGGAUGAAGAGUUUGAACAGCCUGGGUUUAAAUACUGGAUCUAGGAUUCCUUACAGAGUGUGUGACUGGCCAGAGGUCCUGACACCUUUAAGACUCAAAUGGAAACACAGCAUCUACUAUCUAUGGAAGAUUUCUUGUGAAGAUGAAAUAAUACUGGUUAUGACACAGGAACAUGUGAGGUCCUAAAAUUACAUUCGUUAGACAUGUGUCAUUUCUUUCAGGUAAGUCUUGUUAAAUUUAUAUUAGGCCAUGCUAUUUAUUGCAUAAUAUCAAAAUAACUUGAUUCUUAAUAGCACCAGUUUGUGAGUAUUGAUAUAAAAGCGUUUUCUUUUGUAAAGAUUACUUUUGUAACCUAAAAUGAUUCUUAAUUGUCGUCAUACAUUUUAACAUGCUAUUUUCAAUUUUUAUUUCUUUUUUAAAUUAAAAAAAUGUUAAGGUAAACACAUUUCAUGUAUUUCAUGGAUACAGAUUUAGGAACACAGUGGUACUUUCCAAGCAUGCUCCCACCCUUCUUCCUCCUUCUUUUUUUAUUUCCUCUCUUAAUUUUUAUAAUGAUAUAUUUUCGAUAAGUGAAUAGUUCAGCAAAAAUACGAAUUACACAAACGCUAUUCCUCAACAGUAGAGACAAGGGAUGUAGACAAUUAUCAAAUCUUAACAUGUCAGUUUCACUCCUACACAUUACAUUUUUGGUACACAAAUGUACACAGAUCUGGUAAAAUAUAUGAUAUUUGUCCUUUUGGGACUGGCUUAUUUCACUAAGUAUAAUGGUUUCCAGUUGCAUCCACUUUGUUACAAAAGGCAGGAUAUCAUCCUUUUUAUGGCUGAGUAGUAUUUCCUAGUGUAUAUGUACAACAGUUUCUUUAUCCAGUCAUCAGUUGAUAGACAUCUGGGUUAAUUCCUAGUAAGCAAUCAUACUUGCAAACCAUGAUGAUUUGGGUCAUUUUAGCUUCUAAUUAUACAUUUUUCCCCUUUGAGGCAUUAGGUAGAGGUUCUAGGACAAAAAAAAUUCUGGUGAUGCUAGGGUUCCUUCUUCCUUCUUGAUUUAUUAGCAUGCUUCAAAAUAUGAACAACAUUUUCUAUGGAUUCUGAUUUUUUCAUUGACAUUUACCUAGUACUUUCCCAGAAUCUACUAAGAGAUUCAUGCAUUUUUUCUUCCUCUUAUGUGAUGAGUUAAAUAACGUAUAUUUCUAUUAAAUUAUUGUUGAAUUUCCAGAUAAAGUCUUUAUUAUUUUUUGACUCUGUUUUAUAUUAUGCCACAGGAUUCAAUUUUAUCAGACUUGGUUUAUGAUGUUACAAUUUACAGCCAUUUCAGCAUUUUACUCCUCCUCUUCUUUCUCCUCCUCCUCAUGCAUGAAUAAGCAUGAUCAGACAUAAGCUGAAUGCAUUUAAAAUAUCUUAAAAUGUACUUACAUAAUUUUUACCUUUAACAUUAUUCUUAAGGUAUGUGUCAUUAUUUUACUUCAGGAAAAUGAUUUAGAACAGUUAAGUGUCCGAGUCAUAAAAUAUUUCUUUGCAAUAGAGCAAGAAUUUUAAUGUAAUUCCAAUUAAUUUCUAAGCCUCUGAUUUUAAUCAUUUCAUGUAUCCUUUAUUUUUAGUGGAAAGAUUGAUACAUAGAUUAUUUCUUAGUGCUCUCUUUGUCACAUUUUAUUAUCAGGGUUGGGCUCAUCUAGUAAAACAAGUUGAAAUGCUUUCAGUCUUUUGAAAUGUUAUUAAAUAUUUUAAAUAUUAAAUUAAAAAUUUCCCCUGUAUCUGAAAAUAUGUUUACUUAAUUGUUCCAGAAGUGUGUAUUUUCAUUUUUCCUGUAUCAAACUUGCUUGUUUUUACACAUUUUAUUGGCUUUGUAAAAGAAAAAGUACUCUAUAUAUCAGUUAUAGUGUUUUUCUCAGUUUGAUUUGGUUUAAGAAUUAUGUCUUAGCUUCUUGGAUUAAAUACCCAUCUCAAUAACUCUCUAAUAUGAUCAUGAGACCAAACAAAGCUCAUGUUUUUAUCCUUCUUCCAAUGUCCUACUGAAAAGACCUUACUCCUGUAGCAGGGAUAAAUGCGCAUAGUCAAUAUAGCACAAAAUAUGUAAGAAAUUCAGUAAUCAAGGGAGCAUGUGACAGUAGGGAAGGGUUAGUGAGUAGGAAGGAAAGCCCUCUAGGAGUUUAGAGGAAGGAUUCUACCCUACCUUACACAACUGAGCAUGGACUACAGAGUAAAUGCAUUAAGCCAUGACAGAAAUGUUCUCACAAGUACCACAAGAUCUUUGACAAUUCAUUUGUCCAGCGAACAGUAUAAACAAUGAGAAAAGUGAACUCAAGAAAACAGAAAUUGAAAAAAAUACAUUAGUAAAUUUUAAAGAUUAAAAAUAUUUGAGAACAACAAAAAUCCCACGGAUAAAACAAUGAUCACUAAACUAAAUUAAAAUUUCAGCAGAAGUAGUGGGUAUUACAUAACCAAACCAAACAAACAAGAAACAAAACACAAAGGAUAGAACUACAUAUCUAGCCUAAUGUUUUGUUACUCCUAUGCCAAAUAUCCUCAUUCCUCUCCCCUGGGCCCUCUGCAGAUUACUUAUGUAACUUGAUAAUACUUUGCCUGUCUGACGAAUGCCUCUCUGACACAGACAGGCACUUGAUGUACUUUGGUCAGCAAAAAGUGAGUGAGUGGACUUAAUGAGUAUGAUGCUGAACCGGGACUUUGACCACCUGUUGGGCCCCACUCUCUUCUCUUUGCUUCUCUCUGAAGACAGUCAUGGAAAACCAUAUGGGGCUGCUCAUUCAGCCCAGGGCCUAUCUACAAGUAACCUGGGGCAGCUGAUGCCCACAUAGCACAAGGGAAAUAGAAUCCUUUCUUAUUAGAAGCACUGAAAUGUCAGGAUUGUUUGUUAUCACAAUGUUUGGUAGUCAGCUGGCUGAUUCCACAAGCUUGAGUAAUUAUCCCAAAUUCGGGGGGAAGCAUAAGAAUGAGUGAAUAUGAAUUUUAAAGAUAAAACUUGAAAGACAGGUGGGAUAAGAAUCCAGAACACAUGGGGAAGGAGUUCAAAAGCAUAUUGUGAUUAAAUUGGAAGCACAAGAAGGGCAUGAGUCGAUCAGGGAAUGAUUACAUUCUAUAGAACAGUAAAUAUUUCUGUUGUGAAAUGUGUCACUAUUGUUCCCUUAUUUUUUAUUCAAUGCAACUUUGCAGAUUUCUUCUUUCAAUUCCAGGACAUUUUUCCUGAUUACCUCUGAUCCUCAAGUGUGUAGAACAAUGAGUGAUACCAAGUUAGUUCUUUUUGAAGCAUCUAAAGGAAAAUGACUAUUUUUCAUGAUAAUUCAUCUCCUUUCUGUCUUAUUGGUCCCUUGUUCCUGGCAGAAAACCAAAGGCCCCUGCUCUGUCCUGAAUGUGCACCCCCCCUACACACAAGUUCCCCUCAUGGUUCCCAUGUUGGAAGUUAAUUGCCGAUGUUGUAGUGUGAAGAGGUGGGCCCUUAGGGUGUGGUUAAGUCCUGACAGUGAGGCCCUCACAGAUGAUGGACUGCAGGGGUGGAGGGAGUGGGUGCUGCCUUUCCCUCCGCUGAGGGCACAGCAGGAGGCAUCGUCCUGCAAGCCCGCGGCAGCCCUCACUGGACACGCCAAACCUGCACUGCCCUCACCGGUGCUCCCCACGCUCCAGCACUGGGAGGAGUGAAUUUCUAUUUUUUGUGAAUCACCCACCCUCGGGCAUUUUGUUAGACCAGCACAAGCAGACGAAGCCAUCCUUGGUUUUCUGAGUUGGAAGGGGUAUGGGAAGAUAGCUUCAGAGCCUUCACUUUCUCCAGAGAAACAGGCAGGUUCUCUCUCUCUCUCUCUCUUUUUUGACAGGCAGAGUUAGACAGUAAGAGAGAGAGAGAGAGAGAGAGAGAGAGAGAGAGAGAGAGACAAGGUCUUCCUUUUGCUGUUGGUUCACCCUCCAAUGGCCGCCGCGACUGGCGCGCUGAGUCCAGCGCACCACACUGAUCUGAAAGCCAGGAGCCAGGUGCUUCUCCUGGUCUCCCAUGGGAUGUAGGGCCCAAACACUUGGGCCAUCCUCCACUGCACUCUCGGGCCACAGCAGAGAGCUGGCCUGGAAGAGGGGCAACCGGGACAGAAUCCAGUGCCCCGACCGGGACUAGAACCCGGUGUGACGGCGCCGCAAGGUGGAGGAUUAGCCUAUUGAGCCACGUCACCGUAUGAAACAGGCAGGCUCUUCUUCACUCCCUGCUGUUGAGGCAGGAAAAGGGAAAGCUCAUCCAGUGAACUGUGGCUGAGAAAUCAGUUCUUUUGCUUUCUGUAGAUCUGUUGUAAUACAUAUUUAAAAACUAGUUAUUUAAAAGUAAAAUCCAAGGCAUACUGGAGUUCUUGUUUCUCUUAUUUCAAAGUGUAGUAUGGUCUGUGCUGUGGUGUAGCAGCACCUCCUGCAGUGCUAGCAUCCCACGUGGGCACCGGUUUGAGACCUGGCUGCUCCACUUCCAAUUGAUUUCCCUGUUAACAUGCCUGGGAAAGCAGCAAAAGAUGCCCCAAGUGCUUGGACCCCUGCCACCCACGUGGGAGACCUGGAUGAAGCUCCUGGGUCCUGGCUUCCGACUGCCCCAGCUCCAGCCUUUGCGGCCAUUUGGGGAAUGAACAAGUGGAUGGAAGACCCCCCUCUCUCUCUGUCUCUCUCUCUAACUCUGCCCUUCAAGUAAAUAAAUAAAUCUUAAAAAAAAAA